CCUCCCCGCAGGGCACAGCUUGGCACAGACUCGGCUCUGUCUCCUCUUACCCAGCAGCCCACACUAUGAUGGGACUGGCCCCGAGACACCCAAGGGCACAGGAUGCCGGGGGGCAGACAGCAGGUGGGGAGGCGGGACAUUAGGACUCUGGCGCCCGGGAGAACUGAGCCUCCCACCGGGCCUGUGCGUGCCUGGGGGGAGCUCAGACUGGGAUAGGAUCCAGCGUCUGCCCGAGAGCCAUUCCGGGGCCUGUGAGGGAGCUGGCCGGCUGCCUUCCUGGACAGCGAGGACGCUGACGGCAUUGUUAUUGCUAGAGCUUUCUGGCAACAGCGAGCCCCCAGGGUCAGGGAGGGCCUGGACUGAACCCCAGGAAAGGGGCACAGCUGGGCUCCUCUGGUUCCCAAGUUCCGAGGCUCAGGGAGGAGGGCAGAGGAGGAAGGCGAGCCUCUGCAGGAGGCGCACAUGGGGCCAGGAAAGCCUGAGCCAGGAGGGUAAGAGGCGGGGUGGCAGGCAAAGGGUGACGGCCAGCCUCUGAGGAAGUGACGGCCCGAAGGCCCAGGGAAGCAGGAAGGGGUCCUGGCUACCCUUAGCCCCCACUUCCAACACCGCAGUCUCCCUCAUUCCCUCCUCCAGGAAGGGGCCUGUGGGGCCUCCCCCCCCCACCAGAAGCCGAAGUUAGGAGAGCGGCCAAGUCAGCCAGGAGGGCAGACCCGGGAACUGGCCCUUGCCUGCUUCAGGCGGGGAGGGCUGUGGCCUUUCAAAGGAGACAGAGGAGAGACGGGGCUGCGUCGUUUCCCAUCCUGGAUCCCAAAGAGCAGGAACUUGUACUUGCGGGAGGGUUCCAGGCCGGGGACGGUGACCUCCCGCUGGUCUGCGGCCACCGGCACCACCUGGGGCUGCCCGUCCCUGUCCUUGUACUGGACCGCGAAGGAGUCGAAUUCACCCUCGGGGACCGUCCAGGAGAGGCCCACGGAGUCGGGGGUCACGUCCACCACUGUCAGCUCCCCCAGGCGGGGCUCCAGGGGGAGCUUGGGCGCCUCUGUGGCCGGGGCCGGUGGGAGGGGAUCUAGGAUCCGGGAAGACAGAGAACAUGGCUGAGAUCUCUGACGGGAGAAACCCUGGGUGCUGAGGGCCUUGAGGGCUGUGAACUGAGAUGGGGAACAGCCACACCUUUAUUUCCAGACCUCUACCUGAAAUGAUCAACAUAGGAAACCCGCCACAGCAGUAGUACUGUGACUUUGCUACCAAUAGACAACACAGAUGUUUUUACAUGGCGUUAAAGAUAUUACAAAAACUUUAAAAUACCGUUUAUACUCAUCACUACUUCUUCUAAAAGUUGUAGUUUAUUAAACACGCAACAUGUUAUGUAAUGAACUAAUGUCAGUCCAAGUAUUACUAAAUCAUGAAUUUGAGUUUUUAAGAAAUAUUUUGAUAAUUGCAAAUCUGUAUAAUUGGCUUCCUUUGUAAUCCUAUACAUUUUAUUUUAUAGAUUUUAAAACAUAUCUCUGAGAGGGGCUACGUGUUUCACCAGGUGCCACCAUACAAAAGUCACGGAGUUUUGUCUUCCUAGACACGGAAAAACAUCCCCCAAAUCGUGGAGAACCUAUGCCCAGGAGGCCAGGAGGGGCAGGACGGAGCCAGGAGCCAGAGGGGCAGCUCCCAGGAGAAAGACCCGCCCAGGCUAGAAAGGAACGCAGUUUAGGCCACGCAGCUAAGGACAGACUCUGAGAAGGGAUUCAGGAAUGUGUGCCGGUUAACCCCAAUAACAAAGGGCAGAAGGGGGAGGUGGCAGCCAUGUCCAAGUCACAGUAGGGUUGUAAAGACAAGAGGAGGAGACAGCUGUGGACAAUGGCAGAAGGAAAGAGAGAAAGUCUGAGGCUGGGUUUAGGCCAAAUGGAAGCAGACGUCCGCAGGAGUGGAGAUGGGGAAGGAGCCGAGGGCAGGGAGGUUCCAGCCCAGGAGGAGUCACGGGGUCAGGGAACAGACCCGGAGGCCUGUGAGCCCCGCGGGGCCCUGCAGGGCCUGUCCCUCCACGAGGGAGCGCGGUGCCUGGGCAGGGCUGUGGGAAGGGCUGUGGGGUAGGAGCGCUGGGUAACCAGGGACGGGGACUGCCUCGCCCUCACUCACCCGUCACAGCUACCACGGAGAGGGGGCCCACUCGUUGCCUGCCAUGGAGCCCGUAGACGUUCAUCCUGUAUUUUCUUGCAGGCUCCAGGUUGAGGACGGUGACCUCCCGCUGGUCUGGAGCCACAGGCAACACCUGGGGCUGCCCGUCGCUGUCCUUGUACUGGACCACGAAGGAGUCAAACUGGCCCUCAGGAACAGUCCACAAGAGGCCGACGGAGUUGGGGGUAACAUCUGUCACCGUCAGCUCCCCCAGGCUCGUGUUUGCUCAAUGUCUUCCUGAGAUGCCGCAAAGUCAGGCUCGCAAAGUCCAAAACUGGGACCUGAGCUCCCUCCGACACCUGCUCCCAGCACGCCUCCCCACCUCCGGGAAAUAACCGCCUCAUUCUCCAGCCUCGCAGGACAGAAUCCUCGGGGUCCCUCCCGAGUCCUCUCUUACACCCCACAUCUGCCCCGUGGGCAAGUCCUGUUGUCACUGCCUUCCCAGUCUGGCCCUCCUCGCCACCUCCAGGCACCAGGGGCUCUCACUGGACUCUCACAACAGCCUCCCGGAUUACCUCUUUCCUGCUGCCCCCACCCCCGGGGGGCAGGGUCUGCGGCCAGCGGGAUCCUGCUGAGGCACGAGUCAGCCUGUUCCCACAGCAGCCUCCGACUCACUCGGAGUAAAAGCCAGGUCCUUACAGCAGCCCCCGAGGUCCCACAUGUCCAGCUCUCACGUCAUCCCCUGCCACCUGCCCUCCUGCAACUUCUUUCCAUGAGGGAAUGAACUGUCCCUCACCAUCAAGCCUUACUCUUGGUGGUUUGGCUUAACUGGAAAAGCACUGCGAGAGCCCUGCGCACCAGGUAAGCCCAGGCUCAGCAGGCUCCGGCGACUUCGUGCCCCUGCUGCACUGGUAAUGAACAUCGGUGCCCGUUUCUUCCCGAAAGGGCCUCCUCCAUUUUAUCCGGACAUGCAAAAAUGCAUCUUUCAAAAUAUCCAGCAUUAAAAUACAGAUUUCUCAGCUGGUGUAGUGGCCCACGCCUACAAUCCCAGCAACUCCGGGCCGAGGUGGGAGGGUCGCUUAAGCCCAGGAGUCGGAGGCUGCAGUGAGCUGUGAUUGUGCCACUGCACUCCGGCCGGGGCAACACAGCAAGACCCUGCCUCUGAAAAAGAACAUGGAUUCCUCCAUGGGACGGUCUGAGCAAACGUCGAAUGAACUGAGAACAUGAAAGAAGCCACAUCACUUCCUCUGUUACUGGGCAGCAUUUGCUCCACCUUGAAGACGGAGACGCUGAGGGUGGAGGGGGGUAAGGUUUUUAGGAUCGCACAGCUGAGAACAGGGGAAGCCGGGAAUGGGACUCGGUUUGUCAGGUUCCACAUCAACUUUCCUCUGCCGCACCCCCUCAGUCAGGCCCAGCAAAGCCUGUCCUCACCCCAGGGCCUCACAGAGCCCAGUGUGGUUCCCUGGGACAGAACAGAUCAGGAUCACCCCAGCAGGAACCUUGGUGGCACCUCUGGGCCUGGCACCUGCCCAGGUGCUACCUCAGGCCCUGAGGAGAGUAACUUAAGGGUGGCUUUCCCCUCUCCCUCUCCUCAGUGCUGAUGGGGGCAAAGAAAAGAAAUUGGGAGUGGAACGUUCUGGAAACUAAAUUAACCAAGCCAUUAUCUGGUUGAACUUUGUGGAAAUACAGAAACAGUGUUCUGGAAAACUGUUUCUCCACUUUUAAGUUUUUAAUCUUUUCCCUUAUAGUAAAAGUUGUUUUU